rnacentral:rRNA from 1 species
GACGAACGCUGGCGGCGUGCUUAACACAUGCCAGUCGAACGGGCCCGCUCUCUUUUUUGGGGGUGGGUUGAGUGGCGAACGGGUGAGUAUCACGUGAGUAACCUGCCCCCUGCUCCUGGCUAACUGCUUGAAAGGGCGGCUAAUACGGGGUGUGCCGGCUGGUCCGCAUGGGCCUGGUCGGGAUAGUUUCCUCUUCGGGUGUUUCGGUGGGGGAUGGGCUCGCGGCCUAUCAGCUUGUUGGUGGGGUGAUGGCCCACCAAGGCGGUGACGGGUAGCCGGCCUGAGGGGGUGGGCGGCCACACUGGGACUGAGACACGGCCCAGACUCCUGCGGGAGGCAGCAGUGGGGGGUAUUGCACAAUGGGCGGAGGCCUGAUGCAGCGACGUCGCGUGAGGGAUGGAGGCCUUCGGGUUGUGAACCUCUUUCUCCGGUGGUGAAGGCCCUGUCCGUUGCGGCGGGGUUGACGGUAGCCGGGUAUGAAGCGCCGGCUAACUACGUG